GGAAAAUGACAAACGACAGCUGUGAAUGGAGGUAGAGUCUGCAGCUCCUCGUGCAGAUUUGGCACUAGCUAUCCAAACACAUUUCUUCACGUGUCUUCAAGCUGGUUUAAAUGAACGGGUCUCCCGCUGACAGACAGAUUCUUGAAUGGCUGAUGGUCAGAAUAAAGAGACGCAGAUGUGGACAAUUAUCUUGGCACUCACUCAUGCGCGCUGCAUGCGUCCCUCGCCGGGUCUCUGAGGACAGGGGCUGCUGAUGAAGCCGUGGGAUCGCCCCCCCUGGAAAAGAUCACACCUGCGUGGAGGCUUCUGCCCGGCCCUUGCAGGGCGCUUGUGUGCGAGUGGAGACGAGUGACGGAGAUGAACUAUCUUUGCUGAAAAGGUUAGCGGAUGUGCAUCAGCAUGGAAAAACAAUCCAGGGUAUGUCUCCGCGCCUCCUCCGCAUGCUAGAAAAACACCAUCUUCUGUAUAUGAAAUGUCUUUUUCCUUGAAUAAAACCGAGUUGGGGUGGGGGCUCGGGUGU